AAGUCGUAACAAGGUUUCCGUAGGUGAACCUGCGGAAGGAUCAUUACUGAGUGAGGGCCCUGUGGGUCCGAGCUGCCACCCGUGUUUAUUGUACCUUGGUGCUUGGUGCGCCCGCCUCACGGCCGCCGGGGGGCUUCUGCCCCCGGGUCCGCGCGCACCGGAUACACCAUUGAACUCUGUCUGAAGAUUGCAGUCUGAUCAUAAACUAAAUAAGUUAAAACUUUCAACAAAGGAUCUCUUGGUUCCGGCAUCGAUGAAGAACGCAAAGAAAUGCGAUAACUAAUGUGAAUUGAAGAAUUCAGUGAAUCAUAUAGUCUUUGAACGCAUAUUGCGUUUGGUGGUAUUAAGGGGGGCAUGCCUGUCUGAGCGUGUUGCUGCCUUCUGCACUGUUUGUGUGUUGGGCUCCGUCCCCCCGGGACGGGUCCGAAAGGCAGCGGCGGCACCGAGUCCGGUCCUCUAGCGUAUGGGGGUUUGUCACCCGCUCUGUAAGCCCGGCCGGCACCAGCCCACAACCCAUCUUCCUUUUCAGGUUGACCUCGGAUCAGGUAGGGAUACCCGCUGAACUUAA
rnacentral:rRNA from 1 species